AUUGAACGCUGGCGGCAGGCCUAACACAUGCAAGUCGAGCGCGAAAGUCUUCGGAUGAGUAAAGCGGCGAACGGGUGAGUAACGCGUGGGAAUCUGCCCAGCAGUGGGGGACAACAGCCGGAAACGGCUGCUAAUAUCGCAUACGCCCUACGGGGGAAAGGGGGGGAUCUGCGGACCUCUCGCUAUUGGAUGAGCCCGCGUCGGGUUAGCUAGUUGGUGAGGUAAAGGCUCACCAAGGCGACGAUCCGUAACUGGUCUGAGAGGAUGAUCAGUCACACUGUAACUGAGACACGGUCCAGACUCCUACGGGAGGCAGCAGUGUGGAAUAUUAGACAAUGGGGGCAAGCCUGAUCCGGCCAUGCCGCGUGUGUGAAGAAGGCCCUAGGGUUGUAAAGCACUUUCAGUGGGGAGAAAAGUGAUUCACCUAAUACGUGAGUCAAUUGAUGUUACCCACAGAAGAAGCACCGGCUAACUCCGUGCCAGCCGCCGCAGUAA
rnacentral:rRNA from 1 species